UAUAUUUGCACUCGAUUAUAAUUAAUACAUAAGAAUCAUUAAAACAAUAUUGGCAUG
ncrna:unclassified sequences S15-Flavobacteria ribosomal protein leader